rnacentral:misc_RNA from 1 species
GAAGGAGAGAACAUUGCCAAAAGCGUAUCGCAAGGUCGUUGCCUCUUUGGCGUUCUCAGGGUCCGCCAUUGAGAGACAGGGAGGGAGUAGAGUUGUGCUCAGUGGAAGGCUUUUCUAGGUCGUCGACAGGAAGAGAAGACUUUGGUGGAGCAAGAGGAGGAAGUGCGCGAGUCAGGAGUGAGGGUUUUAGAAUAGUUGAUUUGCGG